rnacentral:rRNA from 1 species
GUGGGGAAUAUUGCACAAUGGGGGAAACCCUGAUGCAGCGACGCCGCGUGGAGGAUGAAGGUCUUCGGGUUGUAAACUCCUUUUCUUGGGAAAGAUGAUGACGGUACCCAAGGAAUAAGCCACGGCUAACUCUGUGCCAGCAGCCGCGGUAAGACAGAGGUGGCAAGCGUUGUUCGGAAUCACUGGGCUUAAAGGGCGAGUAGGCGGUGGAGCAAGUCUGAGGUGGAAUCCUAUGGCUUAACCAUAGAACUGCCUUAGAAACUGUUUUACUUGAGUCAGUGAGGGGAGGGCGGAAUUCCUGGUGUAGCGGUGAAAUGCGUAGAUAUCAGGAGGAAGGCCUGUGGCGAAGGCGGCCCUCUGGCACUGUACUGACGCUGAGGCGCGAAAGCGUGGGGAGCAAACAGGAUUAGAAACCCUAGUAGUCC